UACAGAGGUCUCAAGCGUUGUUCGGAUUCAUUGGGCGUAAAGGGUGCGUAGGUGGCGCCGUAAGUCAGGUGUGAAAUUUCGGAGCUUAACUCCGAAACUGCAUUUGAUACUGCGGUGCUUGAGGACUGGAGAGGAGACUGGAAUUCCUGGUGUAGCGGUGAAAUGCGCAGAUAUCAGGAGGAACACCGGUGGCGAAGGCGGGUCUCUGGGCCGAAACUGACGCUGAGGAGCGAAAGCAUGGGGAGCGAACAGG
rnacentral:rRNA from 1 species